GAGUCCAGUCGUGGGAUUCUUGGAAGAGCUGCAGCGGGGAGUUUAAUGAGUGACCUGUGGGUUGUUUUCCAAAUCCCUGAUGGUGCAGAAGAGCCUCUGCGAUCAGGUGGCACCAGGGGGCUGGGCGGCUGGAUGGGACCUUGGCCAAUGACAGUUUGAAAUGGAAAAACAGAAGUGGAAAACACGCUGGGCUCUGGCUGCAGCAGCUCCCUGACCGUGCCUCCUGCCAGGUCUUCAUCCCAGAGUCAACCUGCCUUGUUCUGCUGACUGCCCUGGGGCCACUAAAGUCUUACAUUGCCACCAGGACAGUGACUGGGAUGGUUGUCUGGAUUGAAUAGGUUUACAGGUGAUCCAGAGAUGAUUCAAAGCAUAUAGGAAGAUGUGCAUAAUUAUAUGCAAAUAUUUUACUACGGAUUUUGGAAACCACCAGGGUCUUGGAACAAAUCCCCUGAGGAUACUGGG